CAGUAUAUAUUUUAAAUUAAAAUAUUAAUUUUGGAGAUUAAUGAUAAUAUACUUAUAUUUAUACUGA
rnacentral:tRNA from 1 species